CUCAUUUUUCUACUGCUCGUGGUAAGUGGCUUCGUGGUCUUUAUAGCUGUUACUCUUUUGUACUUUGUCUUUUUCUUUUAUUUUCUUUUGAGCGAUUGUGCGAACAUAGCAUAGCACGCACUAUGCCUUCUGUGUUGUAGCUGCCUGGCCAGGGCGACUGGCGGAUAAGGUCUUGUGCGUGGCCUCGAGGCUUAAAAGUAGCAGUGGGGCUUUGUGAAGGACAAAAUGGCGAUGGCGGGCCGUGUAGGUCCCCCUUCCUAUGAUGAGGACCUUUUCACAGACCUGUACUGAGCUCCGUGAGGAUAAAUAACUCUGAGGAGAUGGGCCCUGCAAGCCUCUUGCUUAGCCGUCUGUUCAGAAAAUAGCGUUUUCGAAAUGCCCUGAGUUGACCUAAUGUCUUAUUGGGCUCCUGUCUGCAGGAUUUACGCGCACGUUGGAACCGAAGAGAGCUCUGUUGUUGCAGUAAGUUCUUACGGCCAUUUCUUAAUCUCUGCUCUUUCGUUGAGUGUGUGGAAGUUGCUACGGGGAUGAUUUUACGAACUGAACUCUCUCUUUCUGAUGGAUUAGUGGAGAAAACAGAAAAUUCUGAGUAGCACUGUACUGUACGCAACAAAUGUCAGGGCCCUAUUGAUUUGUCUGAGGUGUUAGUGAAGGGUGUUAUUUUUUCAGAUGUUCAGCCCACAAGAGCUUACUGGUGAAGGAAUGGGACAAGACCCAUCUUUAUGCAAAGCCAGCGUUACAGUAAUGUUCCAGGUAGGUGUACAUGGUUUAUGCUCUUACAGAGGAGACCUUGUAGAUAACCACUCCAUGAUGAACACAAAAUGACAAGCAUAUGGCUGAACUUUCAAGUGAUGUCAUCUUACUACUGAGAAGUGAGAGAGAGGUCUUAAGGGGUCUUUGAAUGACUAUUUUUAGGUACAUAAAAUGCUUUCCUCUGUUGUCUACAGCAUCUCAUAAUCUAUCCUGGGGAAUUCAGCUGCCUCCCAGGGUGAAUACAGGUAUUCCUGAUGACAGUCUGCCUCUAUCUUACAGAGCAGCUUGUUGCUAUAUACCAUUGAAAAGCCUUCAGAGCUGAGAGGUUAGUUGAUAUUUUUUGUUCCUUACAGCUUAUGCCACCAAGUAGGCAGUUUCUAUGAUGAAUCAAACUAGCUCACUAUGACCGACAGUGAAAAUACAUGAACACCUGAGAAACUGGAGAACGCAGGGAGUGGGGGGUAACCAUGUCUGAGGAAUCUUUCACCCACAGCUUUGUUUUUCUCUAGGUACUACUAACCAAUAACCUGCUUGGCUCAAAGGGCCAGCACCUUCUCUCUAAAGCCCAAGAGGAGUUUGAGGUAAAUGGCUUUGCAAUAGUUACCAUCAAUGGCUGCUAUAUAAAAUUUUCUGUGAUUUUUGUGUGUGAUAGCACUGUGGUCUGGGUGAAUGUACACAGACAUAACUGGCUUAACCCAAAGUCUUUGAUCUCCUGAACCACCAGUGAUGAAUUGCUGCUCACCAGUGAUGAGUUGAAUACCGCCCCAGUCUGAUCAAUGUGUGACUGAAAGGUAUUUUCUGAGCUGUGAGCCUGCCUUCCAGUGACAUGUUCUAAAAAUUGCAAGUUAUUUGAGGAGGCUUUACAGCCAAUAGGAAGUUCUUGGGCUAAGUAGUGUUUCCUAUAAAAUGUGCCCUGAAACUUCUUUCUGCCAAGCAAUAGAUACAAUUGAGAGAUUGUAAAAUGUGACAUAGAAUGAAAGUCUCUCAAGACUACAUUUUUCUUUCUUGAUUUUGCAGGAAAACUAGGUGUCUGUGUUCACUCCAGGCUGAAGUUACAGGUGAGUAAACCUAAAUGUAAGGUGGACUAUGCUAAAAAUUCCCAAUGAAGAAACUUUCACAUGUCUUACUCUCUGUCCUAGUCCCAGAGCCUGUAAAGGUGAACCCACUGGGACUGGCUGGGGGAGAAGAGGAAGAUUUGUUCCAGAAGGAACUGUCUGAGGGAUGAUAAAGAUUUCUAUACAGAGAAAGGGAGUAAUCAUCACUUGUUGAAAACAUUGGUUUUAUUUUUUCCAGGUCUGAGCAAAUAAGGUGUAUAAAAAAUGGAAUCUGUCUUGGAGGACAUCAGAAGGUGAAUUUUCCAAGUUCUUGGACAACCUAGCUGUUGAAAAGCUUUCUGGGUUUGGGGGGUAUUUCAGAUGUACCUUAAAGUGUUAGCAGACACAGAUUAAGACACUGGGAGCCAAUGAAACAGCAGUUGAGGGUUUGCUGUGUAUCACAUUUCUGUAUUUUAUCACCCCCUUCCUGCAACAUUAUUUAUCUGGAAUCUACCUGCCCUUUUGUUUUUUAGAUACAAGGGCUUGGUUUUGUUACCCAGGCUGGUUUCAAGGCCAUAGCUUUAAGAGAUCCUCUCACCACAGAUUUCCAAAGUGCUGGGAUUGCAGGUGUGAUUCAUGGCACCCAGACUUUGCUGCCUUUCUUACAUGAUCCAGGCCCAGAACCCAAACUCAGGCACUGUAUAGAUGACCACUUUCGUAAACUACUGACCUAGCUUGUUGCCAAUUGUUGAUUGAACUUCCCAUAACUCCACUUCGUGUCUGUUCCUCUGUAUACAGCCACCUUCUGUUCCCGUCAUGAGCCUUUAGGUCUCCAUUUGCAUAUUGCAAAUACUAUGUUCCAUGUAGGUAGCUCAUUCAGGGCCUUGCUCUUCACUUCAAAAAAGGUUCCCUUGAGGACUGGCUGUCAAUUUGUGUUGCUGUGUUGGUUGUUGAUGAAAAUAAUAAAAUGAUUGAUUACAUA
ensembl:lncRNA SNHG1 small nucleolar RNA host gene 1